UGGGGAAUAUUGGACAAUGGGCGCAAGCCUGAUCCAGCCAUGCCGCGUGAGUGAUGAAGGCCCUAGGGUUGUAAAGCUCUUUCACCGGUGAAGAUAAUGACGGUAACCGGAGAAGAAGCCCCGGCUAACUUCGUGCCAGCAGCCGCGGUAAUACGAAGGGGGCUAGCGUUGUUCGGAUUUACUGGGCGUAAAGCGCACGUAGGCGGACUUUUAAGUCAGGGGUGAAAUCCCGGGGCUCAACCCCGGAACUGCCUUUGAUACUGGAAGUCUUGAGUAUUGUAGAGUUGAGUGGAAUUCCGAGUGUAGAGGUGAAAUUCGUAGAUAUUCGGAGGAACACCAGUGGCGAAGGCGGCUCACUGGACCAUUACUGACGCUGAGGUGCGAAAGCGUGGGGAGCAAACAGG
rnacentral:rRNA from 1 species